GCUGGUGGCUAAAGCGAGGCGGAACCACCCGUUCCCUUCCCGAACACGGAAGUGAAACGCCUCAGCGCCGAAAAUACUGAGUGGGCAACUGCUCGGGAAAAUAGGUCGCUGCCAGUU
rnacentral:rRNA from 1 species